UCAGUUAUUAUCUAUUCGAUAGUACCUCCCAUUGGAUAACCGUGGGAAAUCUAGAGCUAAUACAUGUAGCAAAGGCGUCUGGUGCUUGCACUUGGCGUCGGCAUUUAUUAGUAAAAACCAAAUGUUGUAGCGUUGUUUCAGCGUUGCAGCAGGGUGAGUCUAGAUAACUGAGCAGAUCGUGUGGCCUUGUGCCGGCGAUGUUUCGAUUGAAUUUCUGCCCUAUCAACUCGUUGGUAAGGUAGUGGCUUACCAAGGUUGCAACGGGUAACGGGGAAUCAGGGUUCGAUUCCGGAGAGGGAGCCUGAGAAAUGGCUACCACAUCCAAGGAAGGCAGCAGGCGCGCAAAUUACCCAAUCCAGAUAAUGGGAGGUGGUGACCAGAAGUACUGGGUGGUGGACUAUGUCUACUAACUAGGAAUGAGCAUAAAGUAAAAAUUUAGUCGAGUAACAACUGGAGGGCAAGUCUGGUGCCAGCAGCCGCGGUAAUUCCAGCUCCAGUAGCAUGUCGUAAAGUUGUUGCGUUUAAAACGCUCGUAGUUGGAUCAUACAGUGCCGGUUAGUUGGUUUGCGUUUGCAGGCAUCAAAUGUGUCGUACUGCAGCGUUGGUUAAUUCUGGCGUUGUCGUGCGGUGCAGUCUGCAGCGUAGAUUGUUUGCUGGCCGGUGCUAUUUGCAUGUAAGGACGGUGGUUGGCCUUUAGUGCGUCGACCACUGUGUCUUGCAGAGCGUGCCUUGAAUAAAUCAGAGUGCUCAAAGCAGGCCCGUGCCUGAAUGAUACAGCAUGGAACGAACAAACGUGUUGUGUGUGUUUGCAGCAUUUGUGUUGCGAUACACUUCACCAACCACCAUGACGGAUGUUGGUUUCCGUAAUGGGGUGAUGAUUAAAACGAGCGGUUGGGGGCAUUGGUAUUUGGCAGCGAGAGGUGAAAUUCUUGGACCGUCCAAGGACCAACAAAAGCGAAGGCAUUUGCCAAGACCGUCUCGAUUGAUCAAGAACGAUAGUGAGAGGUUCGAAGACGAUCAGAUACCGUCGUAGUUCUCACUGUAAACCAUGCCAACCCGGGAUCAGUUUCGAGCUAAAUAUAACGCUCCAGGUUGGUCCCCCUGGGAAACCUCAAGUGUUUGGGUUACGGGGGGAGUAUGGUCGCAAGGCUGAAACUUAAAGGAAUUGACGGAAGGGCACCACCAGGGGUGGAGCCUGCGGCUUAAUUUGACUCAACACGCGGAAACUCACCGGUUCCGGACGUUAAAAGGAUAGACAGACUGAUAGAUCUUUCUUGAUAUAAUGUGUGGUGGUGCAUGGCCGUUCUUAGUUCGUGAAGCGAUUUGUCGGGUUGAUUCCGGUAACGGACGAGAUCCAGGUCUCUAUUUACAGUGCGGAAUGGCAGGUUUUUGGAUCUGUCCUGCCUGCUGCCUCUGAUUGAGGGCAAAUGUCCGAGNUCGAGUUUUGCGGGUAUCUUCCGUAAUGUCAUGCAGGGCAACGUGUGUGGCUGCAUAGAGAGACAACUGNCAAUAAUUUCAAAAUCAGAGGAGGAUUGGCGAUAACAGGUCUGUAAUGCCCUUAGACGUACCGGGCUGCACGCGGGCUACAAUGACAACGCCAAUAAGCUAUCUGGACCGAAAGGUUUGGGUAAUCAAUAAUCGUUGUCGUGAUGGGGAUUGUCCAUUGUAAUUUGGACAUGAAAUAGGAAUCCCUUGUACGUGUACCUCACACAAGGUACGCGGAAUGAGUCCCUGCCCUUUGUACACACCGCCCGUCGCUACUACCGAGUGAAUGGCGUCAUGAUGCGUUGGGACCGGACGCGUUUGGGCUCACCCCCAAAAGUGCUGGGAUCAAUGUAAAAUGGCGCAAUCGAGA
rnacentral:rRNA from 1 species